ACGGCUCCAACAUUCUCUGCAUUUGGAAGGAAACAUUCCAGUGUUUUCUGCAGUGGGAAGCCCUUUUUCCAUUCUUCUGUGGAUGUGGAAGGCACUGCUCUGCUUGUGUGUUUGGGGGACACUGUUCUGCUGCUCUCUUCUUUACCAUCAUCUUCAUCUGCAGGCACAAACCCUGUCUUCUGCUGCAGAGCCACUGCCUCCCUGCCCUUUGCAGGCUGAGGCACUGCUCCACAACUACUGCUUCCCUUUGGAGUCAAUGCUCCCCUGUCAUCUUCACUGACCUGGGACUGCUUGGCAGUCUUAUGUAUUUAAAGAGACAGCAUUCCCUCUUUGCUCUGUAUGUGGGAAGGCUCACAACCCACACUGUUGUAUUGGGAGGCAGGGCUCCCAUGCCCCUUGCACUUGGCUGUCUCUGCUGCUCUCUCACUUUCAUCUGGAGUCACUGCUUCCCUGCCCAGUGCAUUUGGAAGGCACAGCUGCCCUGUCCUCUGCCUUCGGUGGAACUGCCUCACUCCACUGUGCGCUUCCAUGGGCCUGCCCCUUGUCCCCUGCAUGUGGAAGGCACGGCUCCACUCUCCUCUACAUUUGGAGGCAUUUCACUGUGAUCUGCCUUUGGGGACACCACUCCAUUUACCCUGUGGUUUGGUUUGGAUCUAUGUCCCUUCCAAAUCGCAUAUUGAAAUGUAAUCCCCAAUGUUGGAGGUGGGGCCUGAUGGGAGGACUGGAUCAUGGGGACAUAUCCUUCAUGGAUGGCUUAGUGCCGUCCCCUUGGUAAUGAGUGAGUUUUUGCUGUGAGUUCACGCGAGAUCUGGUUGUUUAAAGGUGUCUGGCACCUUCCCCUUCUCUCUCUUGCUCCCACUCUCGCCAUGUGACCUGCCUGCUCCCCCUUUACCUUCCGCCAGGAGUGAAAGCUCUCUGAGUCCUCCCCAGAAGUUGAGCAAAUGCUGGCACCCAGCUUUGUGUACAGCCCACAGAACCGUGGGCAAGUUACAUCUCUUUUCUUUCUUUCUGUUUUUGAGG
rnacentral:lncRNA from 10 species